rnacentral:rRNA from 1 species
GCCCUUUUCCGGUUGAUCCUGCCGGACCUGACUGCUAUCGGAUUGAUACUAAGCCAUGCGAGUCUUUGUAGUAAUACAAGGCAUACGGCUCAGUAACGCGUAGUCAACCUACCCUAUGGACAAGAAUAAUCUCGGGAAACUGAGCAUAAUUCUUGAUAGAUCAUAAUGCCUGGAAUGGUUUAUGGUUAAAAUGAUUCGUCGCCAUAGGAUGGGACUGCGGCCUAUCAGCUUGUUGGUGAGGUAAUGGCCCACCAAGGCGAUUACAGGUACGGGCUCUGAGAGGAGAAGCCCGGAGAUGGGUACUGAGACAAGGACCCAGGCCCUAUGGGGCGCAGCAGGCGAGAAAACUUUGCAAUGUGCGAAAGCACGACAAGGUUAGUCCGAGUGAUUUCUGCUAAAGAGAUCUUUUGCUAGUUAUAAAACCACUAGUGAAUAAGGGGUGGGCAAGUUCUGGUGUCAGCCGCCGCGGUAAAACCAGCACCUCAAGUGGUCAGGAUGAUUAUUGGGCCUAAAGCAUCCGUAGCCGGCUCUGUAAGUUUUCGGUUAAAUCUAUGCGCUCAACGUAUGGGCUGCCGAAAAUACUGCAGAGAUAGGGAGUGGGAGAGGUAGACGGUACUCGGUAGGAAGGGGUAAAAUCCUUUGAUCUAUCGAUGACCACCUGUGGCGAAGGCGGUCUACCAGAACACGUUCGACGGUGAGGGAUGAAAGCUGGGGGAGCAAACCGGAUUAGAUACCCGGGUAGUCCCAGCUGUAAACGAUGCAGACUCGAUGAUGCAUUGGCAUAUAGCCAGUGCAGUGUCGCAGGGAAGCCGUUAAGUCUGCCGCCUGGGAAGUACGUACGCAAGUAUGAAACUUAAAGGAAUUGGCGGGGGAGCACCACAAGGGGUGAAGCCUGCGGUUCAAUUGGAUUCAACGCCGGGAAGGGC